CCUACGGGUGGCAGCAGUGGGGAAUCUUGCACAAUGGGCGAAAGCCUGAUGCAGCGACGCCGCGUGGGGGAUGAAGCAUUUCGGUGUGUAAACCCCUUUCGACUGGGACGCGGUACCAGUAGAAGAAGCCCCGGCUAACUACGUGCCAGCAGCCGCGGUAAGACGUAGGGGGCCAGCGUUGUUCGGAAUUACUGGGUGUAAAGGGUUCGUAGGCGGUGCGGCAAGUUGGGAGUGAAAUCUCUGGGCUCAACCCAGAGGCUGCUUCCAAAACUGCUGUGCUCGAGUGUGAGAGAGGCGCGUGGAAUUGCAGGUGUAGCGGUGAAAUGCGUAGAUAUCUGCAGGAACACCCGUGGCGAAAGCGGCGCGCUGGAUCACACUGACGCUGAGGAACGAAAGCUAGGGGAGCAAACAGGAUUAGAUACCCUUGUAGUC
rnacentral:rRNA from 1 species